UACGGGGGGGGCAAGCGUUGUUCGGAAUUAUUGGGCGUAAAGGGCUCGCAGGCGGCCAACUAAGUCAGACGUGAAAUCCCUCGGCUCAACCGGGGAACUGCGUCUGAUACUGGAUGGCUUGAAUCCGGGAGAGGGAUGUGGAAUUCCAGGUGUAGCGGUGAAAUGCGUAGAUAUCUGGAGGAACACCGGUGGCGAAGGCGGCAUCCUGGACCGGUAUUGACGCUGAGGAGCGAAAGCCAGGGGAGCAAACGGG
rnacentral:rRNA from 1 species